ACUCCUACGGGAGGCAGCAGUGGGGAAUCUUGGACAAUGGGGCGAACCCUGAUCCAGCCAUGCCGCGUGAGUGAUGAAGGCCUUAGGGUCGUAAAGCUCUUUCGCCUGUGAAGAUAAUGACGGUAGCAGGUAAAGAAACCCGCGUACAUCCGUGCCAGCAGCCGCGGUAAUACGGAGGGGGUUAGCGUUGUUCGGAAUUACUGGGCGUAAAGCGCACGUAGGCGGAUCGGAAAGUUGGGGGUGAAAUCCCGGGGCUCAA
rnacentral:rRNA from 1 species